AAUGGGCGAAAGCCUGAUCCAGCAAUGCCGCGUGAGUGAGGAAGGCCUUAGGGUUGUAAAGCUCUUUCGGCGGGGACGAUGAUGACGGUACCCGCAGAAGAAGCCCCGGCUAACUUCGUGCCAGCAGCCGCGGUAAUACGAAGGGGGCGAGCGUUGUUCGGAAUUACUGGGCGUAAAGGGCGCGUAGGCGGCCAACUUUGUCAGGCGUGAAAGCCCUGGGCUCAACCCAGGAAUUGCGCUUGGGACGGGUUGGCUUGAGUUCGGGAGAGGAGAGUGGAAUUCCCAGUGUAGAGGUGAAAUUCGUAGAUAUUGGGAAGAACACCGGUGGCGAAGGCGGCUCUCUGGACCGAUACUGACGCUGAGGCGCGAAAGCGUGGGGAGCAAACAGGAUUAGAUACCCUGGUAGUCCACGCCGUAAACGAUGUGUGCUAGACGUUGGGGAGCCUAGCUCUUCGGUGUCGCAGCUAACGCGGUAAGCACACCGCCUGGGGAGUAC
rnacentral:rRNA from 1 species